ACCUUCGGGGAACGAUAACGGCGUCGAGCGGCGGACGGGUGAGUAAUGCCUAGGAAAUUGCCCUGAUGUGGGGGAUAACCAUUGGAAACGAUGGCUAAUACCGCAUGAUGCCUACGGGCCAAAGAGGGGGACCUUCGGGCCUCUCGCGUCAGGAUAUGCCUAGGUGGGAUUAGCUAGUUGGUGAGGUAAGGGCUCACCAAGGCGACGAUCCCUAGCUGGUCUGAGAGGAUGAUCAGCCACACUGGAACUGAGACACGGUCCAGACUCCUACGGGAGGCAGCAGUGGGGAAUAUUGCACAAUGGGCGCAAGCCUGAUGCAGCCAUGCCGCGUGUGUGAAGAAGGCCUUCGGGUUGUAAAGCACUUUCAGUCGUGAGGAAGGCGGCGUCGUUAAUAGCGGCGUUGUUUGACGUUAGCGACAGAAGAAGCACCGGCUAACUCCGUGCCAGCAGCCGCGGUAAUACGGAGGGUGCGAGCGUUAAUCGGAAUUACUGGGCGUAAAGCGCAUGCAGGUGGUUUGUUAAGUCAGAUGUGAAAGCCCGGGGCUCAACCUCGGAAUAGCAUUUGAAACUGGCAGACUAGAGUACUGUAGAGGGGGGGUA
rnacentral:rRNA from 1 species